GCAGAAUUGUAUACGCUGCUGACGAGAAAGCAAUUCAAUUGAUCAAAAUUAAACAAACAAACAAACGCACAAUGAAACUGAAAACGGUAUUCUAAAGAAACAACAACAACAAUUUACAAAAACCACAAAUCCAAAAUU